ACGCUAGCUACAGGCUUAACACAUGCAAGUCGAGGGGCAUCAGGAAGAAAGCUUGCUUUCUUUGCUGGCGACCGGCGCACGGGUGAGUAACACGUAUCCAACCUGCCCUUUACUCGGGGAUAGCCUUUCGAAAGAAAGAUUAAUACCCGAUGGCAUAAUGAUUCCGCAUGGUUUCAUUAUUAAAGGAUUCCGGUAAAGGAUGGGGAUGCGUUCCAUUAGGUUGUUGGUGAGGUAACGGCUCACCAAGCCUUCGAUGGAUAGGGGUUCUGAGAGGAAGGUCCCCCACAUUGGAACUGAGACACGGUCCAAACUCCUACGGGAGGCAGCAGUGAGGAAUAUUGGUCAAUGGGCGCUAGCCUGAACCAGCCAAGUAGCGUGAAGGAUGAAGGCUCUAUGGGUCGUAAACUUCUUUUAUAUAAGAAUAAAGUGCAGUAUGUAUACUGUUUUGUAUGUAUUAUAUGAAUAAGGAUCGGCUAACUCCGUGCCAGCAGCCGCGGUAAUACGGAGGAUCCGAGCGUUAUCCGGAUUUAUUGGGUUUAAAGGGAGCGUAGGUGGACUGGUAAGUCAGUUGUGAAAGUUUGCGGCUCAACCGUAAAAUUGCAGUUGAUACUGUCAGUCUUGAGUACAGUAGAGGUGGGCGGAAUUCGUGGUGUAGCGGUGAAAUGCUUAGAUAUCACGAAGAACUCCGAUUGCGAAGGCAGCUCACUGGACUGCAACUGACACUGAUGCUCGAAAGUGUGGGUAUCAAACAGGAUUAGAUACCCUGGUAGUCCACACAGUAAACGAUGAAUACUCGCUGUUUGCGAUAUACAGUAAGCGGCCAAGCGAAAGCAUUAAGUAUUCCACCUGGGGAGUACGCCGGCAACGGUGAAACUCAAAGGAAUUGACGGGGGCCCGCACAAGCGGAGGAACAUGUGGUUUAAUUCGAUGAUACGCGAGGAACCUUACCCGGGCUUAAAUUGCAGUGGAAUGAUGUGGAAACAUGUCAGUGAGCAAUCACCGCUGUGAAGGUGCUGCAUGGUUGUCGUCAGCUCGUGCCGUGGGGUGUCGGCUUAAGUGCCAUAACGAGCGCAACCCUUAUCUUUAGUUACUAACAGGUUAUGCUGAGGACUCUAGAGAGACUGCCGUCGUAAGAUGUGAGGAAGGUGGGGAUGACGUCAAAUCAGCACGGCCCUUACGUCCGGGGCUACACACGUGUUACAAUGGGGGGUACAGAAGGCAGCUAGCGGGUGACCGUAUGCUAAUCCCAAAAUCCUCUCUCAGUUCGGAUCGAAGUCUGCAACCCGACUUCGUGAAGCUGGAUUCGCUAGUAAUCGCGCAUCAGCCACGGCGCGGUGAAUACGUUCCCGGGCCUUGUACACACCGCCCGUCAAGCCAUGGGAGCCGGGGGUACCUGAAGUACGUAACCGCAAGGAUCGUCCUAGGGUAAAACUGGUGACUGGGGCUA
rnacentral:rRNA from 1 species